rnacentral:lncRNA from 1 species
GCUCUCUCGAAAUCACAUUUUCCCCCUCUCUCGAAAAUACUCACAUUUUUACCUCUUCUUAGACUUUCGUUCCCUCUCGCGAAUUCAUCUUCGUCUCUCACUGAAUCACUUCGUCAUCUUCCUCCUUCAAUCUCUCUCUCAGGUCACUUCUUCAUCUUCUUGAUUAAUUCUCGUGCUGCACUCGCACUCCCUCCCUCUCGCUCAGCCACACAUCAGAUCUUAUUGGGUCCUCAAGCGCAAACCUUUCUUCUAGGGUUCCUGAGCCAAACCAUGGAAGGGAGAGUGCAAAAGAAGAAGAGACAGUUCAGAGAGUGGCUCGUUGCUAAUGUCAAGACGAAAACCCUAUUCGAGCUCCAAACAAGGUAAAUUCUCUGACCUUCCUCACUCUCACAACUACCCUCCCUGCUCCCUGACUCUCGCUUACUGGCUUAGCGGCUUCCCAUCACUCUCGCUUGCAGUUGCCUCUCUUCCCCCUCACCCGUAACUGCCUCCCCUCACUCUCGCUCACUCUCACUCUACAACUACAAUAUGCUUUCAAUUUUCUUUUUCCUUCCAGUGCCCUAACCUGCCAUGGGUGUUGGAUUAGAGCUCCAUGGUUUUAGUUUUUGUUCUUCCUUAUAGUGCCCUAAUCUGCAAUGGGUGAUCGAAGCUUCAGGUUUCAGUUUUCUUCCUCAUUACAGUGCCCUGUACACUGGUUUUUUGCGAAACCUCCGACAUUUGUCAACCAUUAUGCUAGGGAAAUUUGAUUAAAAAAAGUACGUAUAUAGGAAGAGCAACACUUUUGUUUGUAGCCAUGUCCAACUCUUAUUCUCACAAGCGGACCAAAGAAGAAAAAGAAGCAGGUUCAUUACGUAUGUCUAGUCAUGGGUUUUAUUAAGCUUGGUCGUUUAUAUCAACAAAUUAUCCUUUUGUUAUUGAUUUCAUUAAAUUUAUUUUAUUUUAUGUCAACUUUUGCUUCACUAAAUCAACUCACAACCUACUUCAUCUGCUCAUAAUAUCAGUAGUUCACUUAAUUAUUUAUGCCCAUUGUUGGUAUGUAGUGCUAAUUCAUUUCUACAUGCAUGUUUCAGUGAUUGCAUAUUUGUUGAAUGUCGCAUUUUCAAUUUACACACCUGUACAUUAUUGCAGUGUUGAUAAUUUUUUCUUAAUUUUAAAUAAAA